GAUGAACGCUGGCGGCGUGCCUAAUACAUGCAAGUCGAGCGAACGGACGAGAAGCUUGCUUCUCUGAUGUUAGCGGCGGACGGGUGAGUAACACGUGGAUAACCUACCUAUAAGACUGGGAUAACUUCGGGAAACCGGAGCUAAUACCGGAUAAUAUUUUGAACCGCAUGGUUCAAAAGUGAAAGACGGUCUUGCUGUCACUUAUAGAUGGAUCCGCGCUGCAUUAGCUAGUUGGUAAGGUAACGGCUUACCAAGGCAACGAUGCAUAGCCGACCUGAGAGGGUGAUCGGCCACACUGGAACUGAGACACGGUCCAGACUCCUACGGGAGGCAGCAGUAGGGAAUCUUCCGCAAUGGGCGAAAGCCUGACGGAGCAACGCCGCGUGAGUGAUGAAGGUCUUCGGAUCGUAAAACUCUGUUAUUAGGGAAGAACAUAUGUGUAAGUAACUGUGCACAUCUUGACGGUACCUAAUCAGAAAGCCACGGCUAACUACGUGCCAGCAGCCGCGGUAAUACGUAGGUGGCAAGCGUUAUCCGGAAUUAUUGGGCGUAAAGCGCGCGUAGGCGGUUUUUUAAGUCUGAUGUGAAAGCCCACGGCUCAACCGUGGAGGGUCAUUGGAAACUGGAAAACUUGAGUGCAGAAGAGGAAAGUGGAAUUCCAUGUGUAGCGGUGAAAUGCGCAGAGAUAUGGAGGAACACCAGUGGCGAAGGCGACUUUCUGGUCUGUAACUGACGCUGAUGUGCGAAAGCGUGGGGAUCGAACAGGAUUAGAUACCCUGGUAGUCCACGCCGUAAACGAUGAGUGCUAAGUGUUAGGGGGUUUCCGCCCCUUAGUGCUGCAGCUAACGCAUUAAGCACUCCGCCUGGGGAGUACGACCGCAAGGUUGAAACUCAAAGGAAUUGACGGGGACCCGCACAAGCGGUGGAGCAUGUGGUUUAAUUCGAAGCAACGCGAAGAACCUUACCAAAUCUUGACAUCCCUUGACAACUCUAGAGAUAGAGCCUUCCCCUUCGGGGGACAAAGUGACAGGUGGUGCAUGGUUGUCGUCAGCUCGUGUCGUGAGAUGUUGGGUUAAGUCCCGCAACGAGCGCAACCCUUAAGCUUAGUUGCCAUCAUUAAGUUGGGCACUCUAAGUUGACUGCCGGUGACAAACCGGAGGAAGGUGGGGAUGACGUCAAAUCAUCAUGCCCCUUAUGAUUUGGGCUACACACGUGCUACAAUGGACAAUACAAAGGGCAGCGAAACCGCGAGGUCAAGCAAAUCCCAUAAAGUUGUUCUCAGUUCGGAUUGUAGUCUGCAACUCGACUACAUGAAGCUGGAAUCGCUAGUAAUCGUAGAUCAGCAUGCUACGGUGAAUACGUUCCCGGGUCU
rnacentral:rRNA from 1 species